GGGCCCGCACAAGCGGUGGAGUAUGUGGUUUAAUUCGAAGAUACGCGCAGAACCUUACCAACACUUGACAUGUUCGUCGCGACUUUAAGAGAUUAAAGUUUUCGGUUCGGCCGGACGAAACACAGGUGCUGCAUGGCUGUCGUCAGCUCGUGUCGUGAGAUGUUGGGUUAAGUCCCGCAACGAGCGCAACCCUCACUUUUAGUUGCCAUCAUUUAGUUGGGCACUCUGAAAGAACUGCCAGUGAUAAGCUGGAGGAAGGUGGGGAUGACGUCAAGUCCUCAUGGCCCUUACGUGUUGGGCUACACACGUGCUACAAUGGUAGUGACAAUGGGUUAAUCCCAAAAAGCUAUCUCAGUUCGGAUUGUCGUCUGCAACUCGACGGCAUG
rnacentral:rRNA from 1 species